GUGCAGCAGUCGCGAAACCUUCGCAAUGCAGGAAACUGCGACGAGGGAACUCCAAGUGCCUGCGCUCAGCGUAGGCUGUUCUCAAGCCUAGAAAGCUUGAGGAGUAAGGGCUGGGUAAGACGGGUGCCAUCUGUGGUAGCAGUCAAUAGAUUCGAUUUGUUACUGCAAGGCAUAAGCCGCCGCGGUAAUACCCGCAGCCCAAGUGGUGGCCGCUUUUAUUGGGCCUAAAGCGUCCGUAGCCGGCCCGGUAAAUGCCUGGGUAAAUCGUGGAGCCCAACUUCACGAAUUCCGGGUAGACUGCCGAGCGUCGGACCGGAGAGGAGAGGGUAC
rnacentral:rRNA from 1 species